rnacentral:rRNA from 1 species
CAGUGUACACUUACCGAAGCCUAUGCACCACGCAAGUGGGUAGGUCUUAGCGACUCUAAACAAAUCAGUACCGCGCAAGUCCCAGGGCCGUCCCUCCCGGAUGGUCCCUGGGGCGACACUCUCGAAUUGACGGGGACUCCCUAAAACCAGUCGCACCAACCUACUAGGAGAAAUCCUUUAGGGGCCUGUGUCCAAGCACAGGGUACGGUAACAGACGAUCUGGAUACUUCUGCCUCCCGCAGAGACCAUGGGCAAUCCGCAGCGAAGCUCCUUGUCCCUCCCGGGCAUGGAGAACGUUCACAGACUAAGUGUGAGUGGGUGGAGGCCACGCCUCUGCUUAAGAUAUAGUCGGGCCCCUCGCGAUAAGCGGGGGGGCAAGUACACUAAACUUGACGCCGUUCCGUAGGUGAACCUGCGGAAGGAUCAUUACCGAGUGCGGGUUCUAACGAGCCCAACCUCCCACCCGUGUUUACUGUUACCGCGUUGCCUCGGCGGGCCCACUGGGGCCUGGCCCCGGUCGCCGGGGGGCUUCUGCCCCCGGGCCCGCGCCCGCCGAAGCACCCUAGAACCCUGCCUGAAUAGUGAGUCUGAGUGAGAGAUUAAAUCAUUAAAACUUUCAACAACGGAUCUCUUGGUUCCGGCAUCGAUGAAGAACGCAGCGAAAUGCGAUAAGUAAUGUGAAUUGCAGAAUUCCGUGAAUCAUCGAAUCUUUGAACGCACAUUGCGCCCCCUGGCAUUCCGGGGGGCAUGCCUGUCCGAGCGUCAUUUCUGCCCUCCAGCACGGCUGGGGUGUUGGGCGCUGUCCCCCCGGGGACACGCCCCAAAAGCAGUGGCGGCGCCGCGUCGGGUCCUCGAGCGUAUGGGGCUUUGUCACCCGCUCGGGAGGGACUCGGUCGGCGCUGGUCUUCCUUUUAGGCAGCCCUUCGGGGUGCGCCUCUUCCGGUUGACCUCGGAUCAGGUAGGGCUACCCGCUGAACUUAAGCAUAUCAAUAAGCGGAGGAAAAGAAACCAACAGGGAUUGCCUCAGUAACGGCGAGUGAAGCGGCAAGAGCUCAAAUUUGAAAUCUGGCUCCUUCGGGGCCCGAGUUGUAAUUUGGAGAGGAUGCUUCGGGCGUGGCCCCUAUCUAAGUGCCCUGGAACGGGCCGUCAUAGAGGGUGAGAAUCCCGUCUGGGAUAGGUGGUCCCGCCCGUGUGAAGCUCCUUCGAAGAGUCGAGUUGUUUGGGAAUGCAGCUCUAAGAGGGUGGUAAAUUUCAUCUAAAGCUAAAUAUUGGCCGGAGACCGAUAGCGCACAAGUAGAGUGAUCGAAAGAUGAAAAGCACUUUGAAAAGAGAGUUAAACAGCACGUGAAAUUGUUGAAAGGGAAGCAUUGGCAACCAGACUUGCUUGGGGAGGCUCAGCCGGCACGUGUGCCGGUGCACUCCUCCCCGGCAGGCCAGCGUCGGUUUGGGCGGUCGGUCAAAGGCCCUGGGAAUGUAGCACUCUUCGGGGUGCCUUAUAGCCCGGGGCGCCAUGCGACCUGCCC